GACGAACCGUGCGAACGUUGUUCGGAAUCACUGGGCUUAAAGGGCGCGUAGGCGGGCAUUCAAGUCGGUGGUGAAAUCCUCCAGCUUAACUGGAGAAGAGCUGUCGAUACUGGAUGUCUCGAGGGGUGCAGGGGUCUGCGGAACUUCGGGUGGAGCGGUGAAAUGCGUAGAUAUCAAGAGGAACACCUGCGGCGAAGGCGGGUUGCUGGGCCGACACUGACGCUGAGGCGCGAAAGCCAGGGGAGCGAACGGG
rnacentral:rRNA from 1 species